AGUGAACGCUGGCGGUAGGCCUAACACAUGCCAGUCGAACGGCAGCACAGUAAGAGCUUGCUCUUACGGGUGGCGAGUGGCGGACGGGUGAGGAAUACAUCGGAAUCUACUUUUUCGUGGGGGAUAAUGUAGGGAAACUUACGCUAAUACCGCAUACGACCUACGGGUGAAAGCAGGGGAUCUUCGGACCUUGCGCGAUUGAAUGAGCCGAUGUCGGAUUAGCUAGUUGGCGGGGUAAAGGUCCACCAAGGCGACGAUCCGUAGCUGGUCUGAGAGGAUGAUCAGCCACACUGGAACUGAGACACGGUCCAGACUCCUACGGGAGGCGGCAGUGGGGAAUAUUGGACAAUGGGCGCAAGCCUGAUCCAGCCAUACCGCGUGGGUGAAGAAGGCCUUCGGGUUGUAAAGCCCUUUUGUUGGGAAAGAAAAGCAGCAGGUUAAUACCCCGCUGUUCUGACGGUACCCAAAGAAUAAGCACCGGCUAACUUCGUG
rnacentral:rRNA from 1 species